rnacentral:lncRNA from 1 species
UCUACUGAGACUACACAUGGCUCUGAAGCCCUCUAUCAUGAUGCACACGGAGGCAGCUCCCACCAAGCCAUGGACGGCGGAAGUUGGUCCCAGGGAUUUGAACUCAGGUCACUAGACUUGGCAGCAAGCACCUUUACCUAUUAAGCCAUCUUUUCAUCUGGCAGACAUCAUGCAGAAGGAGCUGUAGCAGGAACCAGUGCUGUAGAAACUCCACACAGUUAAGCAGUGUGUCUGCUUACUGUCUGUUAUAUAACUUUAGACCCAAGGACAAUGCUUGACAGAGUCAGUAUUCAAAAAUCUGUCCAAGGUGCCUUUGUUUGGUGCUCUCUGACGAGGAGUGUUUGAGCAAUAUAUGCACAAGGAGGUUUGAAGACAUGUCUUUAACGUCUUUGCAAACUUAAUUUUUAUUGUGGAAACCAAUAAGGAGCCUGCAUCCCUUCAAUUUCUGAGCCAGUUAUCCCAGAAAAAGUUAAUGCUAGAUUGCCCUUUGGAGAUCUCAUCCAGGUUCAUCGUGAAGAUUUGAGGUCAUCCACUGGGAGGUCUGUGAUGUUGCUGAAGCAAAGACUAUCAUACCGUAGAAGUAAUAUGACCUUGGCUUUGGUAAUGGUCUGAAAUUAUAGCCUGGUUCUCUAGAUGCCAUCCAUGUGCUCUUCCUGAUAGAUUUAGAGCUAUGGGAGAUAGAGAAUAAUCAUCAGAAGGAAAGCUCCACAUAAAACAUAGACGGGGCAGUGAGAGAUGGCAAGAGUGAAGAUCUUGAUUUACACACAGGACUUCUGCCAAUGUGUGUUAGAAGAAAUUGCUGCGGUAAACCUUACUUUCUACAUCUGCUAGGUUUCUUCUAACAGCCGCCAAAACUUGAAUUGGAGAUGCUAGAGAGGAAGAUGUAGAAAAUGGGCAAAAUAUCAGCCUGAUACCAUGAGGAUGAAUGAGAGAGAGCUUACCCUUGCCUCUCCACAACUACGGCAGCUUGGUGGUUUUGGACCCAGUCUGAAAAUGUAGAAACUGAGCUGAGACUUAUUUCCGUUGAGCAUUUCUCAAAGUAUGACAUAUGCGGCAGCACUUGAGAUGAUUUUAGGGUUUGUGGACAAACUUUGUUAUCAUGCCAAUUAUAGAUAUAUCUAAUGACCAUAGAAAAUGUGAUUUGUCCCUUAAAUCUCUGCCAUCUGCCUUGUAUAUUGUUUUUUUCCAGAAUGAAGCCAAGUAAAAACAGUGAGACUGAAUAAUUGUACAAAUAGCGUGUGACAGAGUUUCAAAUGAUGAGAGAGCCUUAAGAGUUACUGACAUUUGCUGCAUAGAGAAGCUGUAAGCUGCAUUCUCAGAUUCUCUUGCUGUCUUAGCUGACUUCUGGUUAAGAUUUUGCCAGUCGAAGACACUGAAGCAAACUGAAGAGUGUGAGAAAGGAUGAAGCCAAAUGCAACUGCUUUGACUGAAGCAGUAGCAGAAGUCCUGGAUCCUUCUCAGAUGGAAGAUUUCAGGAGAUGUGGU